AGAGUAGUAGGGAUGUGUGCGUUCUGGCUCAGCUUUGGAGGGUCAAACAGUCCUGGUUUUGGUUGAUGACCUUUUUUUUAGCAGCCACACUGAGAACCUCAGGUGUUACUUGGUGUCAACAAGUGGGCGGGGUGUUGGUUCAAGGUGUCGCUCUCCUAUUGGUCGUUGCGGUCAUUAGUGGUUCUAAUUAGCUAAUGACAUUCCAUUAAUUAGGCCACACCUCCUAGUUGAAGUUAUCAAGUGGGCGGGGUCUUGGUUCUGGAUGGCGCUCUCCUAUUGGUCGUUGCUGUCAUUUAUGAUGCUCAUUCCUUAUUACAUCGUAAUUACAUAAUUCUCGAUGGGACUCUGCUAUUGGGUAGGUAAUUAAUGAUUCCCUAACUGCAUCCAUUAAUUAGGCGACAUUGCUCAUUUACGAGUAAACUGUUAUGAGCCUUUCAUAUAUUCUUAGACCAACCAACAGACGUUUCUCAGGGGUCACGGUUCUAACCUAACCUAACCUAUCAACAGCGCAUCACGGUUUAAACCUAACCUAACCUACCAACACACGUUUCUGUCUGCUCAGGGGUCACGGUUCUAGCCUAACCUAACCUAUCAACAGCGCAUCACGGUUUAAACCUAACCUAACCUACCAACAGACGUUUCUGUCUGCUCAGGGGUCACGGUUCUAACCUAACCUAACCUAUCAACAGCGGGUCACGGUUUAAACCUAACCAACCUGUCUCUAAUACCAUCGAAGUUCAAAUCAAACCUAACCUAAUUUUAUUAUUUUUAGAAUACUUCAAAUAUCUAGUUUUAUAAAUAUUCUCGUUCAUUACAAAGUUGAAUGUUGAAAUCUCUAUUUCACACAAUGGAAUUUUAAUGUGACUUUAAUGUAUGUAUAAUCUACUUAGUAAUUGAGCUUAUCAUAAUUGUUAGCCAAAUUCCAAUAACACGUAUUUAGAAGCAAAACAAGUUAUCAAUUAUCAAACAAGACUUUGUAUUGAAACAAGAUUUUUAAUGAUCAAGAGUUGUAUAUAUAAAGACCUACGACGAUUUCUUUUUUAUACUACUAUCGAUUGACCCACGCUGUACUCCUACACCAGAAGGCAUCAAUAUGUCGAACUCCCCAUCAAAUGUCUUCGACGGCCAAGACUAUACAUUUAAGCAGUACUAUUAUCCAGUGUCAGAUGCAGAGGACAGCCUAACUUGUGUACCAGACGAGCCGGUGAAGCGAAAAUUAAACACACACACUCAAAUAUCGAUGCAUUCUUUGACCAGCCAAAGAUAAAGAGGAAGAAAAACGUGUCUUCCACUGUAGGAAAAGGCUGUAAAGGGGGUGGUAUAUCAUAUAUAUCUACAAACAAAGACGAUGGUACGAAUUCGACACAUCUAAUCAAAAUAGAAAUAUUUGAUAUGAAAAAACUAUCCAAAGUUUCUGAUACAACUAAACACUGGAUGUUUGCGGAUGUGCGUGCAAAAUAUUUCGUGAUGGAAAAUGAAACAAAUAAGCACUUACAGCAAGCUAAAGAUCUCAUUUACGGAAUCACGAAGGAGAUUUCCGAAUCCGACGAGUGUAAAAAGUACCAUUUUAAUUCAAAAGUCUAAUCACUGUUGUCUAAUUGUGAAUAAAAAUAUAUAGUUUAUA